rnacentral:misc_RNA from 1 species
GAUGAAGAACGCAGCGAAAUGCGAUAAGUAAUGUGAAUUGCAGAAUUCAGUGAAUCAUCGAAUCUUUGAACGCACCUUGCACCCUUUGGACUGCUCCAAAGGGUAUGCUCGUUUGAGUGUCAUUGUACUCUCACACUCUCUGAUCCUUUGGAUUUGGGGAGCAGUGGACUUGGGUGCUUGCUGCUUCCUUGUGGCUCACCUGAAAUGCAUCAGUGCAUCUCUCGAUUGGACAUAGUACGGCGUGAUAAGUGUCUUCGCCGGCACCUCAUAUGAGGGUGGGCGAUCGGGAGCUCUGUGCUUUCAAACCGUCUUCGGACAACGCUGACAACUUGACCUCAAAUCGAGUAGGACUACCCGCUGAACUUAAGCAUAUCAAUAAGCGGAGGA